rnacentral:lncRNA from 1 species
CUUUUGUUAGGGUUAGGGAGCAGUGGAACUCUUCCAUGUUUAAUUGCCUUGGUGGUGUUGACAACGAAUUCUUAAGCAGCGAUCUUGAAGUUUGUGAGUCCUCUCUCUCUAGCUUCUCUAUUUCUCUCUCUAAGAUGUCCUAUUUCUCUCUCAAUUCUACUCUCUCUCUGUAUAACUCCUAUCUCUCUGGUAAACACAAGGAUCUCUCUCUGACAUUUAUCAAUUUUACUCUCUCUCUGUAUAUCUCCUAUCUCUCUGGUAAACACAAGGAUCUCUCUCUGACAUUUAUGUAGGAUUUCUCAAUCAAAAUUUGAACACAAGGAUCUAUUUCUCUCUCUCUGACAUUUCUGUAGGAUUUCUGAAUCAAAAUUUGAUCUGUCGAGAGGGUUUGAUGUCAUCUCUGUUUGAUGCACCUUUAUUUUUUGUUUGGUUUCUGUUGGAUUAUUGUUUAAUAUUCAUGUUGAAUUUCAUUUUAUUGUUUUGAUCUCUUUUAAGGAUCUUAUUUUUGUUAUUCCGAAUUGAUUUUUUCUCUUUCAUCUUAUCGUUCUCUUCUGGUACACCUUUCUUUGUUGUUUAUCGCCCCUUUGGUCUUUGAUAGGUUAUGAGUAUGAUUGAUUUGCAUGUGGACUAAUCCUUGCAAUUCGUCUUUCAGGAUGUUAUUCUGAUGCCUUUAUUGGUUUGUCUCCCCUAUUGAUUUGUAUCCCCUUAAAUUUGUGAUAUCAUGCCCUUCUUUUAGGGUUUAUAUAUCAUUUCUUAUUGUGGACCAAAUAUCUCUGACUAACAUGAGUUGUAUGCUCAAUGCUUUUUAAAAGUUUUAUUUAUUUCAAACAAGUGGUAAUUUAGAUCUGACUUAAUUGAGCUGAGCUAACCGUAAACUGGUUAGGCAUCAUCUCCUUUCAUAUGCAUGAAAUCUUUGAAUUUGUAAUGAGCAGUGACCUUAUUUCUAUGAUGCAGAAUUAACACUCACUGGAAGUCCCUAUCUCCAUUUUGUUUACAAAUGGCUCGAACUUUGAAAAGUUUCAGUGGAAGAAUAUGGUUUUAGAUAACUAACUUCCAUGAAGGAACGUCUCCAGGCCCAUGAUUUAGGGUAGAUUUUGUUUUUAUUUUUUCAUUAUUUUCCAAAACUCAGUGUUUUAGGGUAUUGGUUAAUGCCAUCACUUCCAGCUCUAGUGCUGGGUUUGAAGGAUUUUAUUUGCUUGAAAGUGGCAUUCAAUACACCAAUCAGAACAAGGGAAAGUCGCAUUCAUUGUGUUCAGAUUUCAUGGACUGAACUGAAGGUCAUGAGUUAUUUUGUAAAGAGUCCUGCUGAAGAAUUCAGGCUUUUGACAAGAUUGAUAUGCAGUGCGACCCAGUGAUGAUUUGUGCAAUAUGGAACUUCAGGAUAGCUACGUUUCUUAACAAUCUUAAAUUUUUGUGAAAAGUGCGCUCCUUUUUUAUGAUUAGUAAGGGAGCUCAAUUGUAGAACUACGGAUUUUAUGGGAGUAUUGAUACUUGGUUAACGCAGUUCCAGAGGAUAGAAGGAUAGCCACUAACAGGAGGAAAGUAGAAAUAUCGAUGAUGAUGAUAGUGAAAAUCAGGGUCCAGAAGACUUAAGUAGGAAAAACUAGGCUGUGCAACAUAAGGAAUUUUAUAGGAUUGACAAUAUGAGGAUACGGGAACAAGGUUCAUUAAUUUUUGAAGGUCGUGUGUAAUUUUUGAUGAGGAAAGUCUAGUAGUGAAGCUUUUAUUCAAAUUCAACAGGUUCUACUCUAUUAUAAAAAGGUAGAUAACUUGGAUAUUUCAGGGAAUUCUAUGAGAUUUCAUUGUGUUUGGAAACAUAAUUUAAGUUUAAUGGGCUCUGAUAGCUGUUUCCAGUAUGUCAAAAUACUAUAUGGGAUUUAGCAAUGAAGAAGAUGGUGGACCUUUUGGUGUUACAUGGAAGGAUGGUGUGGCAGGAUAUGAAAGGCUGCUCUCAAGGUGGAUAGUUAUAGACUGGAAGAUUCUCAAAAUUUAUCAGAUUUAUAACUUUUGACAACAAUGUUUAUUGAUAUUCAUUAUGAUAUUUGUGUGGCAUUCCACAGUACUUUGUAGCACUACUUGGGAACGGCAAUAAAGGAAAUAACUGGUGGUCCAUUAAUCAAUUCGUCAAGUUUGAGGGACAUUUUUAGAAAAGACCUGGGUUGAUGGUGAAUAUUUCCUUUAUUUGGUUGUCUCUGGCAUUGUUUGAUUUGGGACAGAAUCUGACUAUCCAUUUUACAACUGAAUUGAAGUUAUAACCCUUCUCAUUUUCUUACAACUGAAUUGAAGUUAUAGUUCUUCUUAAAAUGAUAAAUUAGAUAAAGCAUUGAUUGAUUUGGGACAGAGUCUAACUAUCCAUUUUACAAUAUUCUUGAUACACAACUAUUUUUUUACUUGUACGCAAAAUUAAACACUAACAGGAUAAAUUUUGAAGGAUAUGUGACCAAUAAGCAUGAUAAACUCAUAUAUCUUUUUGACAAGCUGGUAUUCACUUUGUUUCUUUGAAUGACAAAUUUAGAUCUAAUUUUCUGAUUUUAGAAAUUGAACCAGUUGAAGGUCCUGAAUUUCUUACUUUUCUGAAUGUAAGCUAUGUAUCUCACUGGUUCUGUGGUAGGUAAGUCUUGAGUGUCUUGUUUGAAUCAAGGAGCACUAAAUAGGUAAAUAGUGAGUGGACAGAAUGGAAAUUAAUUGUUUUCUCAUGUCUUUUUUGUCUCUUACUCCAUCGUGGAAGCAUGCUGUUGCUGUAUAAAUUUUCCUUUUUCCCAUCCACUAAAGAUAAACUUGCUAAGGGAAACAAAUUUUAUCCACGUAAUCCAAAGACCGCCCACUUAUUCCUUUUUAAAACAACUCUUUAAAACUUGCUCCACAUCCUUAUCAUAUAGGCUUUUUACCUCCUAAAAACCUUCCUAAACCAAAACAAAUGUCUUAUUAAAAGACGUAUCCCUAAAAAAAAGAUUAUUUUAAAUUAAAAAAAGACUCUAAAAAUAACCAACUUAUCCACCUACCUAAUUAAAAGAUAAGACUUUCCUAAGAUAAAAAAAUGGACAUUUAAAAAAAAAGAAGACUUUAUCAACUAAACAAAAACGACUCAUUACUAAUAUAAAAAUCAACCUUUUAAAUCCAUCUCAUUUUGAUCUGCAUCACAUGUUGUCAUGAAAUUUUCUUAAUCUUGGAAGAAAUUUUGGGAUGUAAACUAAACUCAAUCAAUCAUUACCAGAGCAAAAUAAAGUCUAUACCUAUUUUUAAAUUCUUGUUCAUGCUGAGCUUUGGGUCAUUGCAAACAUAUCCUCUGCUUCGUUUUUUCCUUUCUAGUAUAUAUAACAAUCAAGGUUUCAAAAAACGCUAGGCUGCCUCUAGGCGGCCAGCCUGGCGCCCAACGCCUUGGCGAGCACCUAGAACCUUGGGCGCCCUGUAGUACAAGUUCUAUAUAUAUAUAUAUAUAUAAUAUGAAUAAUGAUCCUAUGAUACCCUCCCACACCCAUGUGUGUAGGAUCCCAAAGGAUCACCAUUAAAUUUGGCACAGAUCAUCAAAUAAAUGGGUGUGGGACCUGACUUUUCCAGAGAUUUGUGCUAAAUUUAAUGGUGAUCCUUUGGGGUCCUACACACAUGGGUGUGGGAGGGUCUCAUAAGAUCAUUACUCAUAUAAUAUAUACAUAUAUUUGUAUCAAAUUUGUAAUUUAUUGCGUUUGAAAAUAUUAUAUUAUUGUAACAUAUUUUUUAUACAAACAUAUGAGAUAUCACAAGUUGAGAAUAACCCUGUUCAAAAUUUCAAAAUUCAAACCAUACAAAUAGUCUCCGACUUUCCAUAUUCCAUAAUAAGUGAAAAAAGUUUAGGAAGCUUCUUCAAACCACAAAAAUAUUUUUGAUUCUCAUAAAUAGGUAUAGCAAAGACAUUAAGGUUUUAUGGAAUUGUUCUUUUAAUUUUAGGGGUUGAAAAGAAUCCUCAUAACCUAUUUAAACAUUUUUGGUGGUCAAAAUUACACCCUUUUCCCUUUUGGUAUCUUAAAAAAAAAAAAGCCAACGUCCCUGGUCGCUUGCCUGAGCACCUGCAUAGGCGUCCGCCCAGGUACAUCUGCCCGUGUAGGGCUGUUUGGGUCUGGGCGUGCAGUAUUUUGGUCCAGGCCGCCGAGGCGGGCGCCUAGGCACUGGGCGGACCCUUUUUUAAGACAUUGAUAAUAAUGUAACUGUUUUAUGUGUAAUCCUAGAGAAAUUGUCUAUCUUUGAAUUAUCCUUAUAAAAUGUGAUUCAGUUUUUUAGAAUCUGAUUAGUGAGGCUUUUCUAUGGGACUGGAAAUCAUGCAAUUUGAACUAGCACUUUUCCAUUUCUUACCCUCUGUGUGUUGUGUUCACAUGCAUGGUGCUCGUGUUUGCUUGUGUGUGUCAAGUGGUAGGAGAUAGAGUUGCAGUUGUGAUGCAUUCCAAAUGACAGAACUAAAGAAAAUGAAUAAAAAGUAAAUAAAAGACUGAGGGGGUGGAGCGGACAAGAUUCCUCAAUUGGCAAAG